rnacentral:rRNA from 1 species
AUGCACAUUAUGCUUGGAUUGUCUUACCACAUGUGUUUAGACACUUCAUUUUUUGGUGUUGUGAAUGAUUCUUAUGCCUACCAUCGACCAUUUGUCGAGCGCUUUAGGCAUGUUUGCUAUGACCUUGAGGUAGAUGUUUGUCCACUUGACACACAUAUUUGCAUCACUACCUCACAUUUACAUGCUUGUUUCCAUGAUAUCCUUGCUUGUGCUCAAUUUAUGUGCUUACAUGCCAUGUCACAAUCCUUUGUCACACCAUAUGAUAUGCUUGAUGAUGACACUUGUUGGGUGAAUCACCAUUUGAAUGCUUGGUUUUGCACUAAUGUUAACCACAUUUAUUUUUCCAAGUGUUUGUUGUCCUUGCUCCUUUUGAAGGAAUCACGAGACGGUGUGACAUUGGAGAGUGCCCAUUUCGAGCUACUAGAUGAUGAGUACUUGGUGAACGUCCACAUCUACAUGGCGAGGCCAUCUCUUUCCCAUGGUGAUUUGGUUUUCGAUCCGAGCUCGGAUCUUUCCCAAGGGGGGGGGGGGAUGAUGCGGAGCAUCCUACGAACAUCACCAUGUCAAGAACCCAUUUGGCAAGUGAGACGUGCGACAUAUACUUCACAUACAUAA